CUUGACCAAUUCAAUUUCCACAGCCUUUUAAAAAAACACUGAUCGUUUAAAGCGUUGAUUAGUUUCUCUUUUGAUGUCAUGUCACCUGCAUUUUGUUUGUUUUUCUUAUUGACAGUUGGCCUGUCGUCAGAGUCAUUCAAAGAGAAAGCAAAGCUUUGCAAUCAGCUAGUUGCGGUAAUGCGUGAAAAGACCAUGUGCCAUCCUCUGCGAUCCAUAUGGGUUCUGAGAAACGGGAAAUGUAAGGAGGGCCUCAUGUGUGCCUCUGGAUUGUCGAAGAAGGAGUGCGAAAAAUACUGCCUUGUAAAAAUUAUACCCUCGAAUCCCAAACAUCGAGCAACUAAUCAUCGUUUUAAAACUCGCCAAAUGAACCUUUUUAAACCAAGUACUUGUGUGACUUCAAAGACUGUUGGUAUAACUGAUUGGACCAAAGGGCCAGGGGAGCAUAAUGAUCCUCCAUAUAAUUCAAUGGAAACAACUAUGAGAACCCGGAGGACUCGAAGGACCAGAAAGACCACCAGAUCCCCGUUCUAUUGCUAAAGUUUAAAGCCAAAUAAAGUAUAUUUUAAGACCUGA